rnacentral:lncRNA from 1 species
AUAUACAUAUAAUUCGCAUACGAUCUAUUUCUGAGGAGUACCUAGAAUUUUUUUUUCCCAAACAGUUCUGGUUCGGGGUCUCGAAAUUUUAUACCACCCCUCAAAAAAAGUCCACGGUAAACCGGUAGGGUCCAUACCUGGAGGUCUCCAUUGAAUUCGUUCCACAUUCUGAACACUGGCAAGAAAUUCGUUCUUUGAAAAAUGCUAUUCAUAUAUAUGUAUCGCAAUAGAUUUCGCAUAUUCUAGUUUUUUCUAUUCGUUUUUCAACGAAUAUACGCCCUGUGCAAUGAAGAUAAGCAGUAUGAUGUUAUUUGCCUAUUGAAGGUGUGGCUGAAUUUUCCGGAUUAGUUUUUUUUUCGUAUUAAAAUUGUACCAACGGUGACGUGUACGUAACUGGGAAAAAUAAAUAGAAUACAUAAUUGGUCAAAGCCAAGGCCAUGCGGUCUGGAUAAUAUACGAUCAUCUGUUAUAUAAUUCUCCACAAUGAUUGCAUAAAAGAGAAAAGAGAAAAAAGGAAGCAGGUUCUAAAUCAGGAGAUAAGACUUGCAUUGUGAGUAUCAGAAUGGCUUUUAUAAUUAUUAUAUUCAAAGAUUUAUAUACUUUGCAAUUGAAAUAUUUUUAUUUAUUAUUAUCUUCUUAUGUUUCGAAAAGCAAAAAUAUUUUUGAUAACGUCGCACUUGCACAGAUUAUAAAAUCUUCAUUAAAUACGUUUUUAUACUUGCAAAGUAUUCAAUUAUACGGAUAACUCAGCGGGUGUUAUAAUUAAAAAAUUGCUAUUUUUGAAGUAGAUUUUACGUCAUAGUAUCACGAUGAUUGGUCGCUUCAAAGAUGAGCCUCUUCCAUCACUCCUACUAUUUGGCCCAAGUGGAGAACGUGUUAUGCAAUCGUGUUAUCGUUGAAAUUGCGGUAAUUAAAAUAUUAAUAUAAACGUACCUAAACAUUCCACAAUAUAGAAUGAAUCAGCCGGCGAAAAAAUGGUCGACUAAUGUUCCGGGGUCAUGCGAAAGGAAGAAAAAAAAAAUUCUGGAAACGAAAUUUCAGGAGAACAAAUUGAUGCACGGCUGGAAAAUAUCGAUUGAGUCGUUAUUUCAUAGUACGUAACAAGUUAAAGAGCUUACUUCCCGAUUAGCCGGUAGCGCUUUGAAAAAGCGAUGAGCCAACCAUCGACCAUCUGAAGCUUUCAAUAUUUAACGACACGAAUGUUGAGUAAAAAGGGAAAAAUAAAAUCGAACACGCAUGCACGGGGAUCCGCUGCGGAGGAUAUGCGAUUCUGACAAUGCUUUAUUUUAAACCUCUGCAAAGUUCUGUGUGCUUUUGUAUUUAUAUUACCCAACACGGGUCGCACUUAUACGCCGCAAACUGCAGAAUGUAGUUGGAUCGAUUUCGCAAGCUCUGCGUCAGAAUCCACUGAGAACCAAUGAACAAACGAAUCAUGUUGAAAACUUUUAUGAAAAGAAGAAAAGGGGAUUCAUCGGAUGAAUACCGCAAGGCUCGAGAUGGGGAAUUAAUCCGUCUCAUCAGCGUCGGAUUUCCUAUCACUGAACAAACUUUUACGAGUCAUGAAUAAUUUUCACUAUUAAUAAAUUCAUGAAAUCGGGUUCCAUUGGGCGGAUUUUGGUCCGCUGAUAUAAUAAUCGAAAAAUCAAAGGUUGUCAUUUCAAAAAAAUCAACCCGUUCGAAAGAUCAAUAACAAUGCUGACUUCUGGAAAAAUGUAGUCUCCUUUUUAAUGGGGUAUUAUAACUUUGAUGAAUUUGAGAAUUUUAUCGGGUAAUUAUCAUACGCGAUAACCAGUCACCGUGAGAUCUAGUUGUAUACUUUGAUUAAAAACCACAUCCUGUUCAUUCGCUCCAUUAUACAUUUUCCGCUCUAAAAAUUCCAAUAAUUCACUCAAAUAUUUGCUGCCCAUGGGCAAAUGACAAAAAUGAUAAAAGUCAAACAACUCGUGCAUGGCAUUAUUUGAAAUUGAUUUUUCUCUUUUUACCGUAAUACAAUAUACACGUACACGACAUCCCGUGCACGUUAUUUAUUUAAACAAUCCGUAAUCAUAUCUUUUUUUAUCACGUAUCGAAAAUCUAUAGCUGACGCAGACGUCGGCAUAAAACGUGCAGAUUAUAACUGGAAAUCUGAUGAACGUGAGUUUGAACUACAUAUCUUUACGCUCUAUAGUAACAUUCGCAAAUCACAAUGAAAUAAAAAAAUUAAUAAAUACCAAAGCGAGCAAAUAAAUUAAUAGAAUAAACGAAUAAGCAGGGAACAGACAACCCCUCCAGAAACUUAUCCACUUAAUCGCGAACGAUGUUGGUGUUCAAAACAGAGAACCCCUAAAUUUUCGUCUUCCUCUUUUUGGUCGAAGACGAGCCACCUGGUUCGCUGUCCCACUUGUUAGGAUUCCCUUGCAGGGUCUCUGGACAGCCUAUAUAUUUUUUCUUUCCACCAGCUCCUCUUGCCCUUGAUUUUUCCUAUACCCUGUGGAGGGUUGAUUGCCGUUGCCAUGGCGACGAGGUAAAGGCGACAAGGCACCCCGAGCGUGUGAACUGGAGGGUGUGGUACCCCCGAUGGGUUCUGUUUGUGACGGAACUUGAACAACGUGCCGUUUGAGAAACACAACUUUGCCCGGAUUCGAAGAUUUCUCAGUGAUCUCGCGAUACGAAUACGGA